rnacentral:rRNA from 1 species
CCGCGGUAAUACGUAGGGUCCGAGCGUUGUCCGGAAUUACUGGGCGUAAAGAGCUCGUAGGUGGUUUGUCGCGUUGUUCGUGAAAACUCACAGCUCAACUGUGGGCGUGCGGGCGAUACGGGCAGACUUGAGUACUGCAGGGGAGACUGGAAUUCCUGGUGUAGCGGUGGAAUGCGCAGAUAUCAGGAGGAACACCGGUGGCGAAGGCGGGUCUCUGGGCAGUAACUGACGCUGAGGAGCGAAAGCGUGGGGAGCGAACAGG